UACGUAGGGGGCAAGCGUUGUCCGGAAUCAUUGGGCGUAAAGCGCGUGUAGGCGGCCAGAAAAGUCCGCUGUGAAAACUCGAGGCUCAACUUCGAGCUGUCGGUGGAAACUUUCUGGCUAGAGUCCGGAAGAGGAGAAUGGAAUUCCUGGUGUAGCGGUGAAAUGCGCAGAUAUCAGGAAGAACACCCGUGGCGAAGGCGGUUCUCUGGGACGGUACUGACGCUGAAACACGAAAGCGUGGGGAGCAAACAGG
rnacentral:rRNA from 1 species